GGUGUAACUUCUUCUGACUGAGGGCUUGUUCAGGAUGUCCUCAAUGCUGAAGGGAGUCAGGGGUUUGUUAGAAUUUGCAGGAGGUGGCAAGUGGUCCAAAGCGUUCCUUCUCCUCUCUUCCACAGAGGAUGAUUUGGCUUCUUCUUUGGAAGUCAUUUUGAGCUCCACAAAAGCGAGUGCUUCUCCCCCCAAAAAAAGUUCUCUCCAAUGAUUUUAUCACUUCCGUCGCUCAAAAAGAGCAGAACGUAAUUGCGGAUGGCAGGUAUUGGCCAGAGAGAGCAGAAUGCAUCAGUGUGGGAGACAGGAUGCAGGAGGAUGGGAGAUUGAAGCUAUCGUGUUAGAGAAUUUGUGCUAAUAUUGGAACGAGCGCUGCCCUUUACGGACCAAUAUUUAUACUGCGUCCAGUGUGAAGAAAGAAUCAGCACUUGAUAAUAAUUUUAUUUGCCUUUUGUCUUUUAUUUCUGUAAUAUAAUUGUACUGUGUCAUCCAAUGAAUUAUUCAAGUAAAUUCAUGGCAUAGGCAUUGCAGAUGAUGUGUGCUGCUCACUUGUUACAUAAAGACAAAUGGAUCCAUCGUGUACCACAUUACAGGUACAAGCCUCAAGUCUGGAACAGGAAAUAACCAGGAGGAAGAAGGAUCACUGGUGACUGUUAUAGAACAGAUUGAAUUACAAUGUAGGAUUUGCUAAAUCGACGUCAUCAGAUCUAGAACUCAGCUGUGUUAACGUCUGAUAACAUAUUCAUUCCACAGGCAUUUGCUUAAGUUACCACGUGGAUAAUCCAGAACCACUUUUAUAACUUUUUAUACAGAAUA